UACAGAGGGUGCGAGCGUUAAUCGGACUUACUGGGCGUAAAGGGCGCGUAGGUGGUUAUAUAAGUCAGUUGUGAAAGGCCUGGGCUUAACCGAGGAAUUGCAAUUGAAACUGUGUGACUAGAGUUGAGUAGAGGGGAGCGGAAUUUCCGGUGUAGCGGUGAAAUGCGUAGAUAUCGGAAGGAACACCAGUUGCGAAGGCGGCUCUCUGGACUCAAACUGACGCUGAGGCGCGAAAGCGUGGGUAGCGAACAGG
rnacentral:rRNA from 1 species